rnacentral:rRNA from 1 species
GACGAACGCUGGCGGCGUGCUUAACACAUGCAAGUCGAACGGAAAGGCCCUGCUUUUGUGGGGUGCUCGAGUGGCGAACGGGUGAGUAACACGUGAGUAACCUGCCCUUGACUUUGGGAUAACUUCAGGAAACUGGGGCUAAUACCGGAUAGGAGCUCCUGCUGCAUGGUGGGGGUUGGAAAGUUUCGGCGGUUGGGGAUGGACUCGCGGCUUAUCAGCUUAUUGGUGGGGUAGUGGCUUACCAAGGCUUUGACGGGUAGCCGGCCUGAGAGGGUGACCGGCCACAUUGGGACUGCGAUACGGCCCAGACUCCUACGGGAGGCAGCAGUGGGGAAUAUUGCACAAUGGGCGGAAGCCUGAUGCAGCAACGCCGCGUGCGGGAUGACGGCCUUCGGGUUGUAAACCGCUUUCGCCUGUGACGAAGCGUGAGUGACGGUAAUGGGUAAAGAAGCACCGGCUAACUACGUG